rnacentral:rRNA from 1 species
UGCAAGUCGUACGAGAACACUCUAGCUUGCUAGGGUAAGUAAAGUGGCGCACGGGUGAGUAACGCGUGGGUAAUCUACCUUCGAAUUGGGGAUAACGUUGCGAAAGCGACGCUAAUACCGAAUAACAUCCAUUAAUCUUCGGGUUUUUGGAUCAAGGGUGGCCUCUACAUGUAAGCUACUGUUUGAAGAUGAGCCCGCGUACCAUUAGCUUGUUGGUGGGGUAAUGGCCUACCAAGGCAGCGAUGGUUAGCUGGUCUGAGAGGAUGAUCAGCCACACUGGAACUGACACACGGUCCAGACUCCUACGGGAGGCAGCAGUGAGGAAUUUUGCGCAAUGGGGGAAACCCUGACGCAGCAACGCCGCGUGAGUGAUGAAGGCUUUCGGGUCGUAAAGCUCUGUCAAGUGGGAAGAACCUGCAGUAUGCUAAUAUCAUAUUGCACUGACGGUACCACUGAAAGAAGCACGGCUAACUCCGUG